UACAGCCAUAUCAGGUUGAAACACCAGUUUACGUACGAUCACCGAAGUUAAGCAACGUUGAACCUGUUUGCUACCUACAUGAGUGACCGCUUGCGAAUAACAAGUGCUGUAA